UUUGAAAGUUUGGGGCAUUUUGGGCCAAAAUCUCUACUUCACACGCUUCCUUGGUGAAAUUCUGCAAUGUAGAUGAAUCUUACAGCAAGAAAAUGUUCAAACCAGGCUUGCCAUUUUAACCUGUAAUGGUCUUGAUGUCACUGUUCCAGUCAAAUGAUUGAAAAACCUUGAUACUUCGCAUGCUGUUCUCUAACAGCUUCUCCAGACUUAAAAAGCCCUUUCCUUGGGAAAAGAAUAAGAAUUGCAGGUGGUCAAGAACUUCUUUCCAGAAUAUGUCAGAACGUCAUUAUGGUCCCAUCAAGCAACA
ensembl:lncRNA